rnacentral:rRNA from 1 species
CGGAUUAGGCAUGCAAGUCGAACGGAGGUAGGGGCAACUCUACUUCAGUGGCGGACGGGUGAGGAAUGCGUCGGAAUCUACCCUAUGGUGGGGGAUAACACAGGGAAACUUGUGCUAAUACCGCAUGAUGUCGAGAGACCAAAGCAGGGGACCGCAAGGCCUUGCGCGAUAGGAUGAGCCGACGCCCGAUUAGCUAGUUGGUAGGGUAAUGGCCUACCAAGGCGACGAUCGGUAGCUGGUCUGAGAGGAUGAUCAGCCACACUGGGACUGAGACACGGCCCAGACUCCUACGGGAGGCAGCAGUGGGGAAUAUUGGACAAUGGGCGAAAGCCUGACCGAGCGACGCCGCGUGAGGGAUUGAAGGCCUUCGGGUUGUAAACCUCUUUCGUAGAGGAGGAAGGGGCCGUGAAGAACGGUCUUUGACCUAUUCUAGGAAGAAGCUUGGGCUAAGUUCGUGCCAGCAGCCGCGGUAAUA